AGGACUCCUUGUAAACAAACAAGAGUGUGUCGAAACUAUGACUCCAUCAUCAAUUUCUUCUCCGAGUUGGAAACCUGCAGGGCCUUGAACUCUGACAAGUUGCUCAGGUUUAAAGGGGGUUAACAAUAUUUGACUGUCCUUGAGACUCUUCCUUCAUGGCAGCUGGGUGGGGACUUCCUAUUAGAACUCACAGCAGCAACAGGUUUUUCUGAUGAGCUGCACUUUUGAUGGUAAGCACUAGGGAAGUGCAUGUAAGGAAGGAGGCUAAGGAAUACGAUGCAGGCAAAUGCUACACAACAAAGAAAAACGAAGACAGUGGAGCCUAAUGGAGCACAAAAUGGAUUUCAUAUGCUAGGGGCAGCAUUUGAGCAAUAGAAAGGCAUAUUCAGCCUGAAUGAGCUGUGAAUAGAGAAGUUCUACAAUAGCUGGUACCCGUUGUGAUGACGACUCUGCAUUUGAAAGAUGAUCCAGCCAAUGCCAGCACAGCACAUGCAAGAGGUGGGAAUGCCCUUCCUUGAGGAUUCACAGUAGCCACAGAAUUGGGAAACCUCAACUAUACCAGAAUCCUCACCCUGUCAGAAUAAUUGUGGAGAGCAGUGAAAGCUUCCCCAUCCCCACCCCACCUCCUUUGAAAGUUGUGAUUCCACAGUGAAGAAAGAGGACAACUUUGGCUAAAAACCCAUACUGGUCCAGUGACAAAGUGAAAGCAG